rnacentral:rRNA from 1 species
UGAGUUCUCCCUGAGACUUUAGGUCUCCUGAAGGAACGUUGAAGACGACGACGUUGAUAGGCCGGGUGUGUAAGCGCAGCGAUGCGUUGAGCUAACCGGUACUAAUGAACCGUGAGGCUUAACCUU